rnacentral:rRNA from 1 species
GAUGAACGCUGGCGGCGUGCCUAAUACAUGCAAGUCGAGCGAACGGACGAGAAGCUUGCUUCUCUGAUGUUAGCGGCGGACGGGUGAGUAACACGUGGAUAACCUACCUAUAAGACUGGGAUAACUUCGGGAAACCGGAGCUAAUACCGGAUAAUAUUUUGAACCGCAUGGUUCAAAAGUGAAAGACGGUCUUGCUGUCGCUUAUAGAUGGAUCCGCGCUGCAUUAGCUAGUUGGUAAGGUAACGGCUUACCAAGGCAACGAUGCAUAGCCGACCUGAGAGGGUGAUCGGCCACACUGGAACUGAGACACGGUCCAGACUCCUACGGGAGGCAGCAGUAGGGAAUCUUCCGCAAUGGGCGAAAGCCUGACGGAGCAACGCCGCGUGAGUGAUGAAGGUCUUCGGAUCGUAAAACUCUGUUAUUAGGGAAGAACAUAUGUGUAAGUAACUGUGCACGUCUUGACGGUACCUAAUCAGAAAGCCACGGCUAACUACGUG